CAUUACCUUGCCUUAUGUUAACUACAUUCCAUUUUUUGCCGAACUAGAUUAUUCUCAGUUACUAGAGUUUUUUAAAGGGAGAACGGGAAGAGAAUUAGAGAGGCAAGACGGGGCAGGUGUGCUGCUGUUCUGGAUCCAAGAACGCCAACCUUGGAGCUUGCAAACAGGUGCAGCUGUCACUUCAAUCUUCAACCAAUGUUGUCCAAUGAAGUUGGACUCUACAAUGACUGCGCUGCGUACGGACCUUAGUGGGGAACGUGCUGCUACAGCUACAAGAAGGAUAAGGACGUGGCGGGAGAAACUGAAAUAAUGAAUGCAUAGAGUGAGGCGCUCGUCGAUACGUGAAGGAAGAGGAGAGCGAAGAGGAAGAGGGAAAGAAGAUUCCUCAUGAAGCCGCAAUGACAUGAAUAUAUCACGUCACGAAGAAGCUUUCGCUACAAAAGCUUAUCGCAUCAGUACAGGUGAAGAGCACUAGCAGAAACAUCACGGACUGCAA